UGGGGAAUCUUGCACAAUGGGGGCAACCCUGAUGCAGCGACGCCGCGUGAGCGAUGAAGCCCUUCGGGGCGUAAAGCUCUUUCGACCGGAACGAUAAUGACGGUACCGGGAGAAGAAGCUGCGGCUAACUACGUGCCGGCAGCCGCGGUAAUACGUAGGCAGCAAGCGUUGUUCGGAGUUACUGGGCGUAAAGAGUGCGUAGGCGGUUUUCUAAGUUCGGUGUGAAAUCUCCCGGCUUAACUGGGAGGGUGCGCCGAAGACUGGGAAGCUGGAGUGUGGGAAAGGCAGGCGGAAUUCCUGGUGUAGCGGUGAAAUGCGUAGAUAUCAGGAGGAACACCGGCGGUGUAGACGGCUUGCUAGACCAUAACUGACGCUGAGGCACGAAAGCGUGGGUAGCAAACA
rnacentral:rRNA from 1 species